CUUGUUUAGGCAUUAAUCUUUGCUUGGAAUGAUCUGGAGCGGCCUGCUUUUCAGCGGGACGAAGGAGAAUCGCUUGCCAUUAGAUACAAAUUUGAUCGAAGAUUCUGUGCUUUUGCCGCCACAGGAAGCCAGCUCGCUUGUCAAUAUAGCAAAUCUAGACGAAGUCCAAUUAAUAUUGGUUACCUUUUUGACUCAAAUACAAGAUGGUGUUGUGUGUCAGGAGUCGACACCAGAGAAGGAAGCCGACGAUGCUGGGAACAUCAAGUAUCAAAGAAGAGUUUAGUGAUGGAACUUCUAGAUCUAUACCUCGAUAUAAAAGACCAGCUCACAAGCGAGCCGAGUUGAAGAGAUGUGUCAAAAUCAAGGUAGAAGCAAUUAUAUUAGGCCUUCUCCUAUGUGUCUUUGAUACCUCACGUCUUUGAUCAUGGGCAUAUGGGGCCAAUAUCAGUUUGAAGGGGCGGGGGGCACUCGGCAAACCUCGGAAGAGUCCGUUACUCUACAUCAGCCUAGGACGGUAAGUGAUCACACUGAUCCGCAGUGAAUAUUUGCUUGGCCGCGACAAUCACUGAUAAGGAUGACAUUGAUGCGGCUUAAUGAGCUAGAAAUAUUAACUUUUUUCCUGCGACAAAUUAAAUUCUAAAACAUUUUUUGUAUAUAUUGGAAAAAUAAAUAAAGGCGUUUGACGUAUUUGUAGGUAAAAAUUA